UACGAAGGGGGCUAGCGUUGCCCGGAAUCACUGGGCGUAAAGCGCACGUAGGCGGCUUUUUAAGUCCGGGGUGAAAUCCUGGAGCUCAACUCCAGAACUGCCUUUGAUACUGGAAAGCUCGAGUCCGGAAGAGGUGAGUGGAACUGCGAGUGUAGAGGUGAAAUUCGUAGAUAUUCGCAAGAACACCAGUGGCGAAGGCGGCUCACUGGUCCGGUACUGACGCUGAGGUGCGAAAGCGUGGGGAGCAAACAGG
rnacentral:rRNA from 1 species